UACGUAGGUGGCAAGCGUUGUCCGGAAUUAUUGGGCGUAAAGCGCGCGCAGGCGGUUUCUUAAGUCUGAUGUGAAAGCCCCCGGCUCAACCGGGGAGGGUCAUUGGAAACUGGGAAACUUGAGUGCGGAAGAGGAAAGUGGAAUUCCAAGUGUAGCGGUGAAAUGCGUAGAGAUUUGGAGGAACACCAGUGGCGAAGGCGACUUUCUGGUCUGUAACUGACGCUGAGGCGCGAAAGCGUGGGGAGCAAACAGG
rnacentral:rRNA from 1 species